UACGUAGGGUGCGAGCGUUGUCCGGAAUUAUUGGGCGUAAAGGGCUCGUAGGCGGUUUGUCACGUCGGGAGUGAAAACUCGGAGCUUAACUCCGAGCCUGCUUCCGAUACGGGCAGACUAGAGGUAGGCAGGGGAGAGCGGAACUCCUGGUGUAGCGGUGGAAUGCGCAGAUAUCAGGAAGAACACCGGUGGCGAAGGCGGCUCUUCGUCGGUCUUACCUGACGCUGAGGAGCGAAAGCGUGGGUAGCGAACAGG
rnacentral:rRNA from 1 species